CCGGCAAUCGGCGAUGGCGUGCGCCCCCGGGGCAACAAGGCGCGAAAGCGACCGUCAUAGCUGGACGCCUGCUCAUAA
rnacentral:ncRNA from 12 species